GCUGACUGGCUGUGGGUCUUGGGACAGAAUAAUUUUUCUAAAUCUCAGGGGUUUUUUUCAUUCAGAAGGGCUGACUCAAGGGGCAAGAAGAUGAGACCUCUGCCUUUCACUGCUGGCCACAACUUCACCUGAGAGUGGAAACCUGGUGUUUUCAAG
rnacentral:lncRNA from 1 species